UACGGAGGGUGCAAGCGUUAUCCGGAUUCACUGGGUUUAAAGGGUGCGCAGGUGGGUAAGUAAGUCAGUGGUGAAAUCUCCGGGCUUAACCCGGAAACUGCCAUUGAUACUAUUUGUCUUGAAUACUGUGGAGGUCAGCGGAAUAUGUCAUGUAGCGGUGAAAUGCUUAGAUAUGACAUAGAACACCAAUUGCGAAGGCAGCUGGCUACACAAAUAUUGACACUGAGGCACGAAAGCGUGGGGAUCAAACAGG
rnacentral:rRNA from 1 species